rnacentral:rRNA from 1 species
UACGUAGGUGGCGAGCGUUGUCCGGAAUUACUGGGUGUAAAGCGCGCGUAGGCGGUAGGCCAAGUCUGCUGUGAAAUCGCCCGGCUCAACUGGGCGCGGUCGGUGGAAACUGGUCAACUGGAGGACGGUAGAGGCGAGUGGAAUUCCCGGUGUAGUGGUGAAAUGCGUAGAGAUCGGGAGGAACACCAGUGGCGAAGGCGGCUCGCUGGGCCGGACCUGGCGCUGAGGCGCGAAGGCGUGGGGAGCGAACGGG